rnacentral:rRNA from 1 species
AUGCCCAGUAUUUACUACAGGCAUAGCCGAACUUGGGGUCAUGAUGAUCACUACCAUAUUGGUGACCAUCAUAGUGCUUCUGAUAUGUGGCAGGUCAACAUCAUUGUCGAUCUAUGCUUUCUCAUCAUCCUCCUAUGCCUGCAGCUAUUUUUCUUUUCUUCAGUUAUAGGGAGUGUAGGAGAUGGUAGUUGGGUUCUUUUGAUAUUUGCGGCUAUAUGUACAGAAGGACUAUGGGACCAAGUUGAAGUACGAAACUGA